GUGCUCGCUUUGGCAGCAUAUAUACUAAAAUUGGAAGGUUACAG
rnacentral:snRNA from 1 species